CUGCAUGUCUAAGUAUAAGCAAUUAUACAGCGAAACUGCGAAUGGCUCAUUAUAUAAGUUAUCGUUUAUUUGAUAGUACCUUACUACUUGGAUAACCGUGGUAAUUCUAGAGCUAAUACAUGCUGAAAAUCCCGACUUCGGAAGGGAGGUAUUUAUUAGAUUAAAAACCAAUGCCCUCUGGGCUCCUUGGUGAUUCAUAAUAACUUUUCGAAUCGCACGGCCUUGCGCCGGCGAUGGUUCAUUCAAAUUUCUUCCCUAUCAACUUUCGAUGUUUGGGUAUUGGCCAAACAUGGUCGCAACGGGUAACGGAGGGUUAGGGCUCGACCCCGGAGAAGGAGCCUGAGAAACGGCUACUACAUCCAAGGAAGGCAGCAGGCGCGCAAAUUACCCAAUCCCGAUUCGGGGAGGUAGUGACAAUAAAUACUGAUACAGGGCUCUUUUGGGUCUUGUAAUUGGAAUGAGUACAAUUUAAAUCUCUUAACGAGGAACAAUUGGAGGGCAAGUCUGGUGCCAGCAGCCGCGGUAAUUCCAGCUCCAAUAGCGUAUAUUAAAGUUGUUGUGGUUAAAAAGCUCGUAGUUGAACCUUGGGCCUGGCUGGCCGGUCCGCCUCACCGCGUGUACUGGUCCGGCCGGGCCUUUCCCUCUGUGGAACCUCAUGCCCUUCACUGGGUGUGGCGGGGAAACAGGACUUUUACUUUGAAAAAAUUAGAGUGCUCCAGGCAGGCCUAUGCUCGAAUACAUUAGCAUGGAAUAAUAAAAUAGGACGCGUGGUUCUAUUUUGUUGGUUUCUAGGACCGCCGUAAUGAUUAAUAGGGACAGUCGGGGGCAUCAGUAUUCAAUUGUCAGAGGUGAAAUUCUUAGAUUUAUUGAAGACUAACUACUGCGAAAGCAUUUGCCAAGGAUGUUUUCAUUAAUCAGGAACGAAAGUUAGGGGAUCGAAGACGAUCAGAUACCGUCGUAGUCUUAACCAUAAACUAUGCCGACUAGGGAUCGGACGAUGUUAUUUUUUGACGCGUUCGGCACCUUACGAAAAAUCAAAGUGCUUGGGCUCCAGGGGGAAUAUGGUCGCAAGGCUGAAACUUAAAGAAAUUGACGGAAGG
rnacentral:rRNA from 1 species